AAAAGAAGAUUAAUUACAUAAACAUUUUUUAAAACUUCACACGUUACAAACAAUUCAAGAACAGUUGCAUAAUUAUCCAAAAUGAAAAGUCCAAAUAACAAAAGUUGAUGCAACAAUGACAGGUUGAGAACAGAGCCUUUGAAGAACCAACAGCCAAAACCAUUCUUCAGGCCAAAACGCUCCUAAAUCCAAUUGCCUCAUAGAGUGGAUGCAGGUUUCUUCAAUCAGG
rnacentral:lncRNA from 1 species